rnacentral:lncRNA from 1 species
UGUUAGAACAAUAUAACAUUCAAUUGAAAUAAAUGGAUAAUUUCUUUCAGUUGUUUUCUAUAUCAAUUUGAAUUUAUUAAUUUUAGAAAUUUUCCAAAUCUAGUUCAUUAUUGGGUUUAAAUAAAUAUGGAUACUUGGAAUAGAUUUGAAAUAAAUAUUGAAUUUUAUUUCAUAAAAUGAAUGUUUUAUAUUAUGAAUUAUAAAAUAUUUUCAACUGAAGAAGAAAUAAACACAUACACUAUAUAUAAUAUAUAUAAAUAGAUAAAUAGACAGAAGGAAAUAUUCUUUAAUUUUCUUAAAAUAGGUAACAUUAUUAGUUAAUUGUUCAUAGUCUAUUUCUAUUUCAUUGCUACUUAGGCAAAAAUAUAAGAAAAUAGGAACACAAAGAGUAGUACCCCAUUUGAAUGGGCGUGGCAUGCUGGUGACAAUCUGCAGUGAUUUUUGAUCAGUUAGUUAGUUCAUUAACAGAAAACUCAUUACACUUAUGUGGAAUAUUGUUUAAAUGAUAGUCCUUGUUGGAAUUUCCCAAGAAUCUGUAUUAAAUGCUCUAUUAUUUACUCUGCACGUUAACUUCAUAUUUUAUCCAAAUUUCACAUCUGAUAUUAUUAGAUAUGCUGAUGAUUUAAAACUAAUUAAUAUUGUUAAGAAUGCAAUUGUUGAUUACCUUCAGUCAUUAGUGUUAUAUGGCUCUCCUAAAAUAACAUAAUAUUUAAUAUAAGAAAAUGUCUUAUAUGGUUUUUGAUUAAGCAAAAGAAUUAUUCAAAAGUCUUUAUCUUACAUUUAUUAAUAUAUCUAUUUCUCCUACUUAUAAUCACAUCGAUGUAGAAGUAAUCCUUGAUUAUCAUGUCGUUUAAAUUUCAUAGUGAAAUGAUAAUUAAUAAAUUUCUUCAAAAUAUUACCUUCAUUAAAGUAUAUACGAGAAAUCAAAAAAUUAAUGUCCUUCAUUCUUGGCUUUUAGAAACAAUAGUCUCUAAUGCUACGUAGGUUAUAACGCUACACAUAAAUAACGUCAUAUCAGUUGUAUAGUUAUUGAGCUGCUGAUGCGUUAAUAUCUAUUUAAGCAUAGCAUUUCAAUCGUAUUUUGAUAAAAUACAGUGGAUAUAUUGCCAUGCAAUCAAAUUAUUUGACUCAGUUCUGCUGAAUAGUUCGUACAACGUGUCACUUGAUGAUUUUAAUCACUCAAACUUGUUAAAUAUAUCAGAGUUCAAUUACUGGAUUGACAAAAGUGAUCUGCUAUAUCUUAUUAAAUAUAUAAAUAUCCAGCUUCCUCCAGAAAAUAUUUUUAUAAUGUUCUAUUAUUACGCCAGAACUAUAAACUUUAUUCAAUUAAAUAAAUUCAGAACAACUAAAUAUGCAAAUCGUUCCAGAUCCGUACUGCAAAAAGUUUUAACCAUAAAUUUUAAUCUUUUUACUAUUGUUACUUUGUUUUUCAACAUUUAUGUAUAUUUUAAUGUAUAUUUAUAUUUGUUUUUCAUGGUUUUAUGUAACGAGGGCCACUCGCAUUAUUUAUGAGUGAUUAGAGCUUAAAUAAAAAAAUAAAAAUAAAUUUCUGUCCGCCUACUUUACUCUGGGGGCGUGGGAUUGGUCGAAUCGAUUAAAGAGGUUACUUCUGGACCAAUUAGGACAAAUCAUAGAACGUCAUAGCCGAUUUUGAAUGACAGAAUACGUUUUUAGACAUUGUUAAGAUUUUUGAUAUAAGUCAAUAUACCUAAAAUCUUUUCAAAACAGAAUAUUGAAAUCACAUAAUAUCAGUUAUUGUUUAGAAUCACAAAUUUUCCUAUAUUUAUGAUACAUUUGUAACAAUUAUAUAAAAAACACAGUAUUCGC